ensembl:snoRNA
AUCCUUUUGUAGUUCAUGAACAUGAUGAUUGGGUGUUCAUACGCUUGUGUGAGAUAUGCCACCCUUGAACCUUGUUAUGACGUCGGCACAUUACUUAUCUGACC